UACGAAGGGGGGCUAGCGUUGUUCGGAUUUACUGGGCGUAAAGCGCACGUAGGCGGAUCGUUAAGUCGGGGGUGAAAUCCUGGAGCUCAACUCCGGAAUUGCCAUUGAAACUGUGAGACUGGAGUACGAGAGAGGUGAGUGGAAUUCCCAGUGUAGAGGUGAAAUUCGUAGAUAUUGGGAAGAACACCAGUGGCGAAGGCGGCUCACUGGCUCGUAACUGACGCUCAGGCGCGACAGCGUGGGGAUCAAACAGG
rnacentral:rRNA from 1 species